AACACAGUCUCACGGCAGUUCGUGUAAAUGUCACGUUAUUCUUAAUCUAUUGAUACGUGUUCACAGAGACGUUUUUCUCGUUUUUUACGUGUAAAUGUCACGUUAUUUUUUCGGGGAAAGGACGUUGGGAGGACGCUCCAUAAGCCGGGAGGCGCCCGCGAGGCGGCCCGCAAGGCGGCCCGCUGGGGACGCGCCACAAUAACGGGGUGGCGGAGGUUGGG